UCCCGUGGAGUCUGAUAGUCGAAUAGUGUCCGAUGCAUUCGGUUAAGAUAACGAUGACAAGUCGGUCAUCCGUUGCCUGGUUCUUUGUCGGGCGUAUGCAUCGCGACGUGUGAUAAAUGGUGGUAAGCCAAAUACCCUUCGAUCGGUCGUGACCUGAUCGGUAUGUCACAAACGCAAUGUUGGUCGCGUUGGCGUUCUGUCUUUCUUGGCCAGAGCCAAGUCGGCAAGUUAGCCAGUCGUCUUGCUCGAGAGUUGACUAUGGAAGAAGCGUGGCUUCAACUUAGGGGGGUUUCAUCGCCAUCACCGACCUUCCACCAGCAUAGAUAUAUCGGUUC
rnacentral:lncRNA from 1 species